CAGUAGCCACGGGAAUACGAAGGGUGCAAGCGUUACUCGGAAUUACUGGGCGUAAAGCGUGCGUAGGUGGUGGUUUAAGUCCGUUGUGAAAGCCCUGGGCUCAACCUGGGAAUUGCAGUGGAUACUGGGUCACUAGAGUGUGGUAGAGGAUAGUGGAAUUUCCGGUGUAGCAGUGAAAUGCGUAGAGAUCGGAAGGAACAUCUGUGGCGAAGGCGACUAUCUGGGCCAACACUGACACUGGGGCACGAAAGCGUGGGGAGCAAACAGGAUUAGAUACCCCUGUAGUCCCUGUCUCUUAUAC
rnacentral:rRNA from 1 species